rnacentral:tRNA from 1 species
GGAGAGUUGGCCGACCGGUCGAAGGCAACAGUCUUGAAAACUGUAGGGUGUAAAAGCUCCAAGGGUUCGAAUCCCUUACUCUCCU